GUGGGGAAUUUUGGACAAUGGGGGCAACCCUGAUCCAGCAAUGCCGCGUGCAGGAAGAAGGCCUUCGGGUUGUAAACUGCUUUUGUACGGAACGAAACGGUCUGGGUUAAUACCCUGGGCUAAUGACGGUACCGUAAGAAUAAGCACCGGCUAACUACGUGCCAGCAGCCGCGGUAAUACGUAGGGUGCGAGCGUUAAUCGGAAUUACUGUGCGUAAAGCGUGCGCAGGCGGUUUUGUAAGACAGGCGUGAAAUCCCCGGGCUCAACCUGGGGAUGGCGCUUGUGACUGCAAAGCUGGAGUGCGGCAGAGGGGGAUGGAAUUCCGCGUGUAGCAGUGAAAUGCGUAGAUAUGCGGAGGAACACCGAUGGCGAAGGCAAUCCCCUGGGCCUGCACUGACGCUCAUGCACGAAAGCGUGGGGAGCAAACAGGAUUAGAAACCCCGGUAGUCC
rnacentral:rRNA from 1 species